UGGCGAACGGGUGAGUAACGCGUGGGUAACCUGCCUCAUACAGGGGAUAACAGUUGGAAACGGCUGCUAAUACCGCAUAAGCGCACAGUACCGCAUGGUACCGUGUGAAAAACUCCGGUGGUAUGAGAUGGACCCGCGUCUGAUUAGCUAGUUGGUGGGGUAACGGCCUACCAAGGCGACGAUCAGUAGCCGACCUGAGAGGGUGACCGGCCACAUUGGGACUGAGACACGGCCCAAACUCCUACGGGAGGCAGCAUG
rnacentral:rRNA from 1 species